GUAUAAAGUAUUCCAGCGAUAGUUGUCUGUACAUCCAUUUAAACUUCAAUCAGGAGCUGCUAACAGAUGAUUCGGCAUACUUCUAAUGGACACACAAUGAAUGAAUGUAAACAAAUAUAGGCUAGAACAACAGGGCUACGUGGUAACAUUAUACUUGAUUUGACUUUGUUAUUCUUGUGCAGGAGACCAGAGAGCAGAGGAUCACUCAGUACCAUGAGGAAGCUGACACUCCAAGUGUCCUGGGUCUGAGGGAGGGAUCCCUGCUGCUGGUGGAGGGAAACAAAGCCACACUACUGGGAACCACCAAGGCCAGACUCUUCACCAGCUGAACUGGAAGUUGUUAUGUCCCUCCUCGGUGAAGGCAAAGCUCUUAUUUCUGCCACAAGGAGCGAGCAUUGAGGAGGAAUCAUCGAGGAGCUAUGAGUGAGGAUACAGAGCGCAGUCUUCCUGGAAGCCGUGCAGCUGAUAAAUUCAUUUGUUGCUUCAGAGGAAAGGACGUCUCAUUCCUCUAAAAACCAUUUGCUCGUUGCCUCUCUUCUCCUAUGAUUUUCUCAUGUCUCUCCAGGGCUUCCUUGGUGGAAGGGACUAACAUGCGAGGAAGGGAGGCAAGUAGAGGAGACAGGGAUGCAAUUUAAGCGACAUUAGAUGCAACUAUUAGUGUCGAAACAGUUGGCCCUCUGGCCCAAAAAAAACAUUAAACUUUACAGUAAAACUUUUCCCACAGAUUUACAUGGAGAAAGAGAUGUCUGUAAAUCAGUGGAGACAUUUUUUGGGCCAUCACAUCCCUCCAUGAAAUGACUUGUUUCACUUUCAGAAUUUGAUCCAUUCGGUCCGAUAACAUGUGGAAAGUGUAAAAGAGCCGCAUGAUUAAAUCAUGUAAUCCCCAUUUAAGUUAGCGGAGCACUAAACAGGAAUGUCCAUAUCAGUUGGACUGGACUUUAAAUGGUAUUCACUGUACCCUGCCAAUUCAAGGAACGGCAAGAGGCUCGGUUGUCUUUGACUAAAUUACGAACUGGCUUAGUGGUGUAAUCUGUGUCAUGUCCUGCCUCCUGCACGCUCUACCAAAACGUCACCGCUUGCCCAAACCAAACAGAAGAUUUCUAGAAAGUGAGAACGCAUCUGACACGGCCAAUCUCUUGUUCUGUGCUACAUGUGAGAAAGGGAAACUCCGGACUAUGUUUGCACCUGACUCUACAGAGUUCAUAAUAGGAAAAAAAAAAGUGGU